GAGGAAGCCAGUCACCAUGUCAUGGGGACACUUACAAAGCCAUGUAGAGGCUUGCAGGGAGGAAUGUGGUAUUCUCUCAGCACCGAGCACCAAAUGGUGUGCAUUACUUUGGAAUUAAAUCCUUCAGCAGCAGACAAGCCUUGAGAUAACUGCAGUCCAGCUGACAUCCUGACUGCAACCUCAUGAGAGGCCCCAAGCCCCAGUUGCCCAACUAAACCACUUCUUAAUACCUGACUCAUAGAAACUGUGAGAGAUGAUAAAUUGCUACAUUUUGAGCCACUUUGGGAUGGAGGGUCUGGUAGAUAGAUGGAUUCGGACAGUCAGAGAGACGAGUCUCGGCAGCAAGAUGGUUGAGAAAAGAAGAUAAGCAUGAAGGGGACUGCCAUAGAUUCUCAAGGGACUCUAGGGUGACAAUGAAAAUCUAGUGAUGACACCAAAUUGCGAGCCUGCAAUAGGAAGUCAAGGCAGGAAACUUCAUCGAGAAAAGGACUUAGCACAAGAGCUCUGGGGAUAAGCAAAUGAAACAAAAUACAGAGUAACCAAAAUAAGGCCUUCGCUUCCCAAAAUAUCCUUGCCUUCUCCUAAAGCUGGAUCCACUAACCACAGAAGAAUAGCACAAGUGAAGUGACAAGCUCAAAUCCAAAUCCCCACUCCUAACAUCGUGGAGGCUGCCUGUGGUUUUGUAGAGUCUCCUACUUUUUCAAACGUAUCAAAGACACAAAUUUUCCAGGCAUUCAUCCCAAAAGGAAACUCUCCAAAAAAGUUUAUCACCCAAAGAUUAUGCAGAUUGGCCCUGAGAUCCUCCACUGUCAACUUCUGCUCUCUCCCCACCACCCUCAACACACAGUGCUCAGGUCCGAAGAGAGUUUUCCUGUAGCAAUUUCUCUACAUCAUGUUAGCAGAACUGGCAUGAAUCUUUGCGCCCCACUUGAGCUGCAAAAAUUGUUACUACCAGAAAUGUUUCUGAAUUAAAUCAAAUCAAG
rnacentral:lncRNA from 1 species